rnacentral:rRNA from 1 species
GAAUUCCUGGUGUAGCGGUGAAAUGCGCAGAUAUCAGGAGGAACACCGAUGGCGAAGGCAGGUCUCUGGGCCAUUACUGACGCUGAGAAGCGAAAGCAUGGGGAGCGAACAGGAUUAGAUACCCUGGUAGUCCAUGCCGUAAACGUUGGGCGCUAGGUGUGGGACUCAUUCCACGAGUUCCGUGCCGCAGCUAACGCAUUAAGCGCCCCGCCUGGGGAGUACGGCCGCAAGGCUAAAACUCAAAGGAAUUGACGGGGGCCCGCACAAGCGGCGGAGCAUGCGGAUUAAUUCGAUGCAACGCGAAGAACCUUACCAAGGCUUGACAUACACCGGAAUCAUGCAGAGAUGUGUGCGUCUUCGGACUGGUGUACAGGUGGUGCAUGGUUGUCGUCAGCUCGUGUCGUGAGAUGUUGGGUUAAGUCCCGCAACGAGCGCAACCCUCGUUCCAUGUUGCCAGCACGUCAAGGUGGGGACUCAUGGGAGACUGCCGGGGUCAACUCGGAGGAAGGUGGGGAUGACGUCAAAUCAUCAUGCCCCUUAUGUCUUGGGCUUCAC